rnacentral:rRNA from 1 species
AGUGAACGCUGGCGGUAGGCCUAACACAUGCAAGUCGAACGGCAGCACAGUAAGAGCUUGCUCUUACGGGUGGCGAGUGGCGGACGGGUGAGGAAUACAUCGGAAUCUACUUUUUCGUGGGGGAUAACGUAGGGAAACUUACGCUAAUACCGCAUACGACCUACGGGUGAAAGCAGGGGAUCUUCGGACCUUGCGCGAUUGAAUGAGCCGAUGUCGGAUUAGCUAGUUGGCGGGGUAAAGGCCCACCAAGGCGACGAUCCGUAGCUGGUCUGAGAGGAUGAUCAGCCACACCGGAACUGAGACACGGUCCAGACUCCUACGGGAGGCAGCAGUGGGGAAUAUUGGACAAUGGGCGCAAGCCUGAUCCAGCCAUACCGCGUGGGUGAAGAAGGCCUUCGGGUUGUAAAGCCCUUUUGUCGGGAAAGAAAAGCAGCAGGUUAAUACCCCGCUGUUCUGACGGUACCCAAAGAAUAAGCACCGGCUAACUUCGUG